AACGUAGGGUACAAGCGUUGUCCGGAAUUACUGGGUGUAAAGGGAGCGCAGGCGGACCGGCAAGUUGGAAGUGAAAACUAUGGGCUCAACCCAUAAAUUGCUUUCAAAACUGCUGGCCUUGAGUAGUGCAGAGGUAGGUGGAAUUCCCGGUGUAGCGGUGGAAUGCGUAGAUAUCGGGAGGAACACCAGUGGCGAAGGCGACCUACUGGGCACCAACUGACGCUGAGGCUCGAAAGCAUGGGUAGCAAACAGG
rnacentral:rRNA from 1 species